AGCAUAUCAAUAAGCGGAGGAAAAGAAACCAACAGGGAUUGCCCUAGUAACGGCGAGUGAAGCGGCAACAGCUCAAAUUUGAAAUCUGGCUUUCGGGUCCGAGUUGUAAUUUGUAGAGGAUGCUUUUGGCGCGGUGCCUUCCGAGUUCCCUGGAACGGGACGCCUUACAGGGUGAGAGCCCCGUACGGUUGGACACCAAGCCUCUGUAAAGCUCCUUCGACGAGUCGAGUAGUUUGGGAAUGCUGCUCUAAAUGGGAGGUAAAUUUCUUCUAAAGCUAAAUAUUGGCCAGAGACCGAUAGCGCACAAGUAGAGUGAUCGAAAGAUGAAAAGCACUUUGAAAAGAGGGUUAAAUAGCACGUGAAAUUGUUGAAAGGGAAGCGUUUGCGACCAGACCUUUUCUUAGCGGAUCAUCCGGUGUUAUCACCGGUGCACUUCGCUAAGUUUAGGCCAGCAUCGGUUUCUGUAGGGGGAUAAAAGCCUUGGGAACGUAGCUCCUUCGGGAGUGUUAUAGCCCUUUGCAUAAUACCCUUCUGGGGACCGAGGACCGCGCUAUAUGCAAGGAUGCUGGCAUAAUGGUCGUCAACGACCCGUCUUGAANCACGGACCAAGGAGUCGAACAUUUAUGCGAGUGUUUGGGUGUUAAACCCUCACGGCGUAAUGAAAGUGAACGGAGGUGAGAGCCCUUACGGGUGCAUCAUCGACCGAUCCUGAUGUCUUCGGAUGGAUUUGAGUAAGAGCAUAACUGUUCGGACCCGAAAGAUGGUGAACUAUGCGUGGAUAGGGUGAAGCCAGAGGAAACUCUGGUGGAGGCUCGCAGCGGUUCUGACGUGCAAAUCGAUCGUCAAAUCUGCGCAUGGGGGCGAAAGACUUAUCGAACCAUCUAGUAGCUGGUUACCGCCGAAGUUUCCCUCAGGAUAGCAGUGUUGUUCUUCAGUUUUAUGAGGUAAAGCGAAUGAUUAGGGACUCGGGGGCGCUUUUUUGCCUUCAUCCAUUCUCAAACUUUAAAUAUGUAAGAAGCCCUUGUUACUUAAUUGAACGUGGGCAUUCGAAUGUACCAACACUAGUGGGCCAUUUUUGGUAAGCAGAACUGGCGAUGCGGGAUGAACCGAACGCGGGGUUAAGGUGCCGGAGUGGACGCUCAUCAGACACCACAAAAGGUGUUAGCACAUUUAGACAAUAGGACGGUGGCCAUGGAAGUCGGAAUCCGCUAAGGACUGUGUAACAACUCACCUAUCGAAUGUGCUAGCCCUGAAAAUGGAUGGCGCUCAAGCGUCCCACCCAUACCUCGCCCUCAGGGUAGAAACGAUGCCCUGAGGAGUAGGCGGCCGUGGGGGUUAGUGACGAAGCCUAGGGCGUGAGCCCGGGUGAACAG
rnacentral:rRNA from 1 species